GGCCUCUGUGAUGCACUCCUCUGGUUUGAGGUUUCCUGACAUGACUCUGACGGCUCUGCUUGCCUUGGAUGGCAGAAAGGACAUAAGUUGUUAAGGAUCUUGAGGUUUGAGAGUGUUUGCCAAAGUCAAUUCUGGCCUGAGCAGCAGCUGUAUGAAGUUUCUUAAACUGGCACGUUGCACCAGUCCAGCUUAGCAUGGCAGUCAGCAUCACACAGUGCCUCCAAGUAUAGCACCCUGAAAACUGGACCCCUUCUUUUGUAACAGUAUCCAGAUGAAUACUGGUCAUCAUGACCUACCAGUUGAAGCACCAGCACCCUAAAGGUCCAGUAUGUAUGAUAUGGAACCAUAUGCACCAUCAUAAGUGGCCUCAUCUGCCCAUGCUGCUCAAGAUGUCCUGGGACAACGGUACUCUAAAGAACGUGUGGCUGUCUGUCAUCAGGGGGCGUCGCUUGGCUCUAUCUGGGUCUUUCAGGCCUAUCACAUCUCUUCCUUUUAAUAACCCUCCACACAC